rnacentral:lncRNA from 1 species
UCUGGAGAGAGCAAGGGAGCAGGGGGAGAGGGAACCAGCCCUGGUUACUUUCACUUGGAUGAGUGGGGACGGGGUGGAGACCAUGGCCUGCCUCAGCAGGAUGUCCCAGCCAUAAAAAGCUGGAGGAAUAGCAGCUCCAGCGAGCCAGAUGCCUCUCAAGCAAGAAAGACGCCUGCCUGAGUUGCCUCUCCCGGGUUGAAGGUAAAGUCCUGUUGCUGAAGACACCACGGACUUCAGAUACGAGAGUCAUGCUGGAUCUCCCUUGAAAGUCUCUCUCUCUGUGGUCUAGUUUCCAGACUAUCAGAAGGCGCUAGCCCUAAAUAUACAACAGUGGCACUCACAUCUAGACUAACUGACCGCACUCUAGUUGGACUAAAACCUGCUCAACAGGAGGGAAAUCAUGCCUGGCAUUGGAAACUUAGUCAACUACCCCGGGUUAAUGAGGAAUGAGGUUGUGAAUCUUAGAGGAGAACCUAUUACUACCACUUUACUGGACCGGUGUAAUUCCUAACUGCACCCUACAACCUUAUCCCUACAGAGUGUAGCUCUCGUUCUGAUCAAAGACGCUGCUCUCUGUGGUGAAAACCACCACUGGUCAUACGGCACAGAUCAACCAAUCCUGAGGAUCCCAACCCUUACAGGUACAUCUACAAUACUACUCCUGUAGCCACGGCUCGGGGAACAGCACAGAGAAGAUGGUGGGAAGACUUGAAGAGCCAGAGAGCCAGAGGACCAGGAACUCUGCUGUGAGACCGUAUUGCUUAGAACCAAUAACCAAGCUACAUUGUUUGUACCUCAACAAUAUGUCUGCUUAAACAUGAACUGAACGAAGUCCAUGCCAACGGACAUGCUAACUCGGAAUGGGAAAUUUUCACAGGGUCCCCACCCUAGACAAAGAACUCCAAGCAGCUGAUGACUUCUGAGAGAAUUAGUCUCUCUCAGGGAUGAGCCCCCUGAUUGGUUAUCUAAUACCAAGUGGUCAGCAUUAAAAUCACAUUCACAC